rnacentral:rRNA from 1 species
ACGGAAGGCAGCAGCUAAGAAUAUUCCGCAAUGGACGAAAGUCUGACGGAGCGACGCCGCGUGGAUGAUGAAGGUCGGAAGAUUGUAAAAUCCUUUUAUGUCUGAGGAGUAAGUGAAGUGAGAGAAACGCAUUGUGGUGACUGUAGGUCAUGAAUAAGCAACGGCUACUUACGUGCCAGCAGCCGCGGUAACACGUAAGUUGCGAGCGUUGUUCGGAAUUAUUGGGCGUAAAGGGCAUGUAGGCGGAUAGGCAAGCUUGGUGUGAAAGGCGGGAGCUUAACUCCCGGACUGCGUUGAGAACUGCAUAACUAGAGUGACUGAGGGGCAGGCAGAAUUCCAGGUGUAGGGGUGAAAUCUGUAGAUAUCUGGAAGAAUACCAAUGGCGAAGGCAGCCUGCCAGCAGAUGACUGACGCUGAGGUGCGAAGGUGCGGGGAGCAAACAGGAUUAGAUACCCUGGUA